CAGAAAUAGACAAAAUACUUCACAGCAGAUUACAGUUUAUACAUAAAGUUGUUUAUGGGUCAAACUCCACUAUCUGUAUAUGGGUGUAAUGUUGCUGAUUGCAGAGGUGAUACAUGUGUAUCACACAGUAGAAUCUGAUGCAAUAUCUGCUAAGUGUUAAGACAGUCCAGAAAUGGGGAACAAUAGCUACAUUUCAGGGACCAGGAUACAUGAAGAAACGGACUCAAUUAAACAAACAAGUUUGUUUUAUCAGAGAAAGAGAGAGAGAGAGAUGGACCAUGAGAAUGGGAACUGAGGUGUCAAUUAUCCAGAGAGGGGCUAUAUCAGAUGGUGGUAGGCAGCUUUAGAAGAUCUACCAUGCUUUGUGGGGACGUACCAAGCAGGAACAAAUAUUAGGGUAUUUGAUGGUGGCAAGGAAUGAGCUCAAGGAGAGAAAAUGUAAGGUUCCUCAAUUAAAAAUGGUAGCUGCAACUGUCAACAAACACAGAAUAACUGUAAUCACUCUAUCCCGCAUUAUUUAUUAAUUUGUUAAUUAGUGCCCCAUUAAUUUAAUGGUAUAAUCCAUUUUUAUAAACUAGUUUGUUAUGCAUCCAUUUUCAACUGCUGAUGAAGUAGGAGAAAUUACCUGUCAUAGCAUCGAAAUGCCAUCAGAAUAAAGCCAAGUUUUCAGGUUAUAAAUGUUCAUUACAGCAGCCACAAAAUGAAUUUAUCACUUCAAGCGCCUUUUGAUCUUGCCUCUGUGAAUAAAUGCAAAUUCUUGAAAAAUGGUUAAUUUAAUAAAAUGUAGCAACCACACACUUUAAAAAUAAGCCCCUAAUCCUGCAAAACUGUUCCAUGAAGGUGGGCCCUUCUGUUCCUAUGGAAUCAUAUUGAUUUCAGUAAGAUUCUGCAUAAACACAGGGAAUGAAUAGCUGGAUUUUGGACAACCUGAGAUAUGCAGAGUUAAUAUUAGGGAGACCAUAACAGAAAUACUUACAGGAAGGAAGAAAAGUGAAGACCUUUAUACAAAAGUUUUAACUGAGUAAUCAAUCUCCAGGGCAAAAGUUAGCACACAAAAGUGACACAAAUUGUUUUCCCAUAUACAUUCAUUUGAGACGUCUUUUUUCCCAGCAGGAGUGGAGUGCCCUCUUUUCUCUCCCCAAAUCCAAAAAAGCUGAUGGACGUGAAUCAAAGCACAAAAUUCAUUUCUCACUUGGCCCAGAUCCUCCACUGGAAUCCGCUAGUGCAGAAUCUUUACCUCUGCAGUCAGGACCAUAGUCUUUACAUGACAGUUCAUGUCAAACUAUCCUCUAGUGAAAAAUUCUGGAACUGCAAUAAUGGUAGCAAAUGUUUUCUCUUAAGAUUUACCUGCCCCUCCCCCCAACUCUCUACAGUACCAAAUCUGAAAUAUUUUUACGGUCUUUUGAAGAUAUUCUUACUUGCUGUGCAUCCAGUGCAACUUCUUAAAAAUAAAACUAAAUUCCUUUACAAUUUGCAGGGGGGGUUUCCUGAGCUUCUACUAAGGUUUAGAAGGCCUCCUGAGUGGGGAGAACAAGAGCAACAUUACUAGAGACCAAUGUGCCCUUCCUGUUCCUAGGAUCACAUGCCUACCCAUUGCCUGUUCAGUCUUAUCUGAUUGCUGUUCCUGGGAUAAACAUCCCUUUGCAGGGCCUAAGGGAGGCAAGUGACCGCUCCCCAAAGUAGUGUAUAAAACAAGAAGUGCAACAGGCUCGAAGAUGUUUCUCAUUUAUUAGGAUAUAAUUGUGUAACUGUUUACUUAUAACAGUAAUUAUUCAAUUUUCAGAUAGAAAUAUUAUUUUAAUUACCCCCACACACACCUUCUUUAUCUACUUCUCUACAUCCUAUGUAGAGGAUUGUGUGAGUUAGAAAGCUUGUCUCAAGAUCUGAACUUUCCGCAAGUUUGCAGUAGGUUUGGAUCUGAGGUUCCAGAGUAGGCCCAUCACUACUCUAAGGGUAUCAAUUUUGUAUCAGAAAAAGGUUUUGCAUCCCAUUUUUGUGGGAGGGUUUAAAUCAACCCCGGCACCUUUCUGCAGAACCCCUGGACGCUCCCAAAUCAUUUCUGGUAAGUGUGUGAUUCCUCUCUCUCAGUUCAUUGAUAGAUCGUCACCCCUUCACUAGAAAAAGGCCACCACUGCGGACAGUCUCGCUACUGGGUAGACCUGCAGAAGAAAGGGCAGAUUCAGUGCCACUGGCGCAAUUUGUACAGUGGUGCUGAAAGCCACUGAACAAAAUUAUAAACCUUCCCUGCAUAUGAGUGAAACCACUUCAAGACAGUUGCCCUUGGCUGGUUCCAGAAAGAGGCCACUGAAGGUUGCAGCCUGAUGGGGAGCAAGAGGCGACUCCUCAGCCAGCAGAGGCAGUUUUCUGUCUGUGGGGAACUUCAGCAACUGACUACGGAGAAAGAAGGCGGGGCCAGCAGCCUCUUUGCUGUUCUAGCCACGGAGUCUCCGGCACGUGGGCGUGUUUUUCCAGACGGGGAGGGCCCAUGGAGCCAACACCCCCAGGCGCCGCCCCCGCCCUCCCCCAAGUUUGUGCGCUUUCCAACAGGCAGGACUCUCUCUGUUGUUGUUGCGGCUCAGCCAGAGCCCAAGCGCAGGGCGGGCGGCGGCGGCUGCUUGCAGACGCCGCUGCCCGGCAGCACAGCGCAGCGGGGCGAUGAAGGGGCGGCGGUGGCGCUGGCAGCACCGCCGCCUCGCCCUGCUGCUGGUGCUCUACACGCUGCUGCUGCUGCUCCUGGUGCCCUACGUGCAGGACUACGGGGCCAGGCGGGGGCGCGGGGCGGAGGAGGCGCCGCUGCAGCCCCUCUGCCCCAGCCUGCAGGAGGCGCUGGGCGAGUGGGGCUGGGAGGAGGAGAAAGAGGAGGAGGAACAGUUGCCUGAGGGCGAGGGGGCGGCGGCUGACGGGAGCGAGGCCGGCGACGGCGGGAAGCGGCACAUCUACCUGCACGCCACCUGGCGCACGGGCUCCUCCUUCCUGGGGGAGCUGUUCAACCAGCACCCGGACGUCUUCUACCUCUACGAGCCCAUGUGGCACCUGUGGCAGGCCCUGUACCCGGCCGACGCGCUCAGCCUGCAGGGCGCCCUGCGCGACAUGCUCCGCUCGCUCUUCCGCUGCGACUUCUCCGUGCUGCGCCUCUACGCCGCCCCGCCCGCGCCCCGGGACCCACUGGCCCCUCCGGCCCCGGGCGGCGGCGGCGCCAACCUCACCACGGCCGGUCUCUUCGGCUGGCGGACCAACAAGGUGAUCUGCUCGGCCCCGCUCUGCCCGGACGCCCCCCGGGCCCGCCACGAGAUCGGCCUGAUCGACGGCGCCGCCUGCGAGCGGAGCUGCCCGCCGCGGGGGCUGCGGGAGCUGGAGGCCGAGUGCCGCAAGUACCCGGUGGUGGUGAUCAAGGACGUGCGGCUGCUGGAACUGGGCGCGCUGCUGCCGCUGCUGCGGGAGCCCGACCUCAACCUGCGGGUCAUCCAGCUCUUCCGCGACCCCCGCGCCGUGCACAACUCCCGCCUCAAGGCCAAGCAGGCGCUGCUGCGGGAGAGCAUCCAGGUGCUGCGGAGCCGGCACCGCGCCGAGCCCCGGGGACUCCCCCGCCGGCAGCUCCUGCCCGCGGCCGGGCUGGGCGGCGGCGGGAUCCGGGCGCAGCAGCAGCACCGGGCCGAGUUCUUCCUGAGCGGCGCGCUGGAGGUGAUCUGCCAGGCCUGGCUCCGCGACCUGCUCUUCUCCCGCCGCGCCCCGGCCUGGCUGCGCCGCCGCUACACCCAGCUGCGCUACGAGGACCUGGUGCGGGAGCCCCGCGCCCAGCUGCGCCGCCUGCUGCGCUUCGCCGGCCUGCGCGUGCCGCCCGCCAUGGAGAGCUUCGUGCUCAACAUGACCCGCGGUGCGGCUUACUCCUCCGACCGGCCCUUCCUCAUCUCCGCCCGGGACGCACGGGAGGCCAUCCACGCCUGGAGGGAGCGGCUCAGCCAGGAGCAGGUGCGCCAGGUGGAGGCCGCGUGCGGCGAAGCCAUGAGCCUCUUGUCCUACCCGCCCAGCGCCGAGCCCGGCGGCGGAGCCCAGGAGAGGGACAGCGGGUAGCGGCUGCCUUCUGGGCGGGACAUGCAGGUGGUCACUGAUGAACUGGUACUCCUCUUCUACGUGCCCAACUUGACACUGUGGUCUGACUAGCAGACAUGCAGAGCAUUCAGCAGUGAAACUGAAAUCAAUGGGAGCUGUGCUUGUGUAUAUAAAGUACUGUAUCAUGCUUGAAUUGCAGACAUUGGAAGGAUGUGUUACUGUAACAGCCAAGGACUGAAGAAAAAAUCACCCCGAAGAGACUACAUUCCACAUCCUUUCAGAACUUCAGUUUAUACUAACUGUACCGUUUUGCAUAGCAGAACAAAUUCUAAUCACCUAAAACAGGUGGACACGACGACUUCAUUUCCAGUAAGGAUAUGACAGUGCAAUAUGGACAACUAUGAACCUGCAAUAGGGAGUGGUUUAUUUUACAAUUUGAAGCUGCCAGUCUAUGGUCAAUUGUAGGUGCUUUUUAUGGCAACAAGGACACUUAAAUUUUUAAAGUUACUGACAAUACUUGGACAAAUCAUCUACCGUUGCAAAAACUCAGUAUUUGCAAGCGUAGUAUUUUACACUUCAGUAUUCAGUAAAAUUUUCACAGAUCCAGGUGGUGAGUUUUUCGAAGUGCUCUGCUUCCCCACCCUGUAACUGGGAAUUAUUUUAUCCUAAUACCAGGACUGUGUGUUUUAGAAUUCUGAAUACAGUAAAUUAUAUAGUAAGUUGUGAGUUUGAUUAUACAAACCCCCCAGGGGGAGGGGGGAGAGAAACAGUUGAAGUGCUGCUUCCGUUUCUACUGCAUUGUGACCUAAUUCACAGAAAGCACAGUAACGCCACACCAUACUCAUACAAGAAACUACACAGAAACCUCUGUUUGGGAGGGGAAAAAGUUCAGGGCUGAUCACUGGUGUCAGUUGGCAUAGCUGAGGUUCUGACCCCUUAUGUUAAGCUCUUACUGAAAUGCCAAGCUAAAAUCCACUUCAAGUUUGCCUAUAACUCAUUCCUUAAAUAACCCUUUGGUGCUGAGAGCUGGGAUUUCCACAGUGCUCAUUGUUAAUGUACUGUAUAGACCUUUUAAAAGAAUGCUAAGGCUAUGGGGCAUUUGUUCAAUGUGAUCUGGAUUUAAUUUAGCUCCAAAUUUAAGUUUUACAAAAGCUAGGACUAAUAGAAUUCCCAUAGAAAGCUGAUGAAUUAGCCAUUCCCUAUACAGCUGGAAAUCCUUUCAUUGCAGCUUUGUUAUGGAAUGCAAAUCUGAAAUGGACAUUUGUAUUUCUCUCAGUUUGGACAAGCAGGCCAGGUCUACAUUAGAAAUGUUUACUGCAUAGCAGUGCCUGUUAAGGGUGUGGAUUUUUUGUGACGUUUCCAUGCCUGCAAAAGCCUUAGUGUAGACAGUUGUAUUGGCAUAAGUGCUUUUGCUGCUCUAGCUUAUUUCAGUCACUGAACCUGUACAUCUGUAUCAGCAAAGUGCAGACUAGGCCUCAGUCACUCUAGCUGAACUUCUAACAGAGCAGUAAUUUACCAGUAGACUUAAAAUCUUAAGUGGUGGUAAUAGACAAGGAAUGUUAAAAAGGAUUAGCCUGACAGCGUACCAUGGACCUGUCCUUUUGUGCCUAAAUGCUUGUGGACAGGAGUCACUCUCAGUCAUGAUUUUGAUUGUUACAAACGUCAGUGCUCAGUGACAUCGGUAUAGAUUAGUCAGUAGAUCAAAUAGAGUAACUUGCAGAGGAAACAGCAUGGUGGCAUGCAAUAUGGAUUCAAAUGUGGCCAGCCUUGAUAUGCAGUGUGUGCACACAACAGUAUUUUGAAAGAUUCUGUAAAUAGAUGCACAUUCACCAGACUAAGAUUAGCAAAUCAGAAGUCGUCAUUCCAUAGUAAAUACUGAUUACUUUAAGAGUUUGGUUUGUGUAGCUUUGGGCAGCUGUUCUUUGAACUCUUCAGAAACAAUCUGCAGUGUAAUUAAAGCCACUUUCCCCUAACCCUGACCUGUACAUGUGAGCCACUGUUGAAGUAUACAUUUUUUCUAUUUUAUUUUUUAUGUCAAGUGGUGGAAGGGGAAGAGUUGUUACUGAAAGUAAAGUCCUCAUGUUGUCCCCUUAAUGUAUUUUGGAUCCUGCAGUCCUUCCCCUGGCAAAAAAUGUACUGAAGUUCAAUGGGAAUUCUGCUGAAUUUAGGACUUCAGCUUUAAGCACGGCAUGACUGUUGCCGGCAGUAUUUCUGUAUUAAAACUGCAUGUCUAAGCCAUUUCUUUGGCUUUCUAACUUACCAGUUCCUUCAAAGUUUCCCUCUUUUGGGAUGUAGGCUUAUUUUUUCUAUAUCUUAUUUUACAAAAUGGCAUAAAAACCCCAUAUUAGAGGCAUUUGGAUUUUUAUCAGAUGGAAUCAAACUGUCUUCCACAAGCUUAAAGCUUACAAUAUAAUGAAAGGAUAUUAAGCUACAUCACACUGCAAACCUGUCCUACUGAAACAGUAUUUUCAAAUACAAGAACAAAUCCUCUUUCUAAAUGUCCUCUGGCCCUACAGUGUACACUGGAUAUAUGAGAACCGUGCUCUUGUUACUGAGCUGUUCUGGUCCGCUUCACUCUCCUGAAGUUUGAACUGGAUCUUUCUAAGAUGUGAUAUUGCCUUCCUUGGAUUCCCCCUCUUCUUUCUGUUCUCUGGGAUUUUAGUCCAUGUACAUGAAGGGUAUUACUCCCACUACUCACAUCCCCCUGAGCCUCCCUGGCCUGUAAGCUGAAUAUUUUGAGAAAGUAAAUGGCUACUAAAUGACUCAUUGAAUACUGAGUUCGCUCUGACAGGCCAUUUUCCUAUCUUACAAGCUUAACUCUCAUGCUUUAACUUUUUUUUCAUUUAAGCACUUCAAUUCCAUUCUCACUCACGUGCAGAAGCAGGAAUUCUGCCAAAAUGGAGUUGGAGCAAGUUAUUAGUGGUGAGUUACAACUUCAAAACAGAAGUUCCAAAAGGCAACACUGAACGUUUCUCUGAAGGGUAUUAGAAUGAGUGUAGUGUUCUCAGGUUUACU